CAAUUUAUAUCUUAAAUAUUAAAGUUUUUCAUUUACAUUGAAAAUAAGUUUGUGUAAUUCAAAUUAAAUUGA
rnacentral:tRNA from 1 species